CGAGCGGCGAGCGACGACGCGGGACAGAGCGUGAGCGCGACAUACGAGAGCAGAACGUUUCGGAUAAGGCGCAAGGUGGAAUUCACUUGUACACCUAAUGGAUUCGAGGGACCAUCAGCUGGUUGCCUGUUCAUCGACACAACGCGUCGGCACUCCGCACCUGACUCCUGCAAGAAAUCUGCAGCGUCGUCGAGUUGGCAUCACGAGUGUCCUUCCACGUGAGCCCGAUGUGUACGCCUGCAAAAAAGAAGAGAAAAGCACAGAUGAAUUAAAACGGAGGUAUUCAGUUCGCCGAGUUACGGGAUUGCAAUCUCCGAGUGUCCACCCUUGCAUAUUCUAUUUCUCUAUUUCUAUCUUCCUACCUUUCUAGUUCUAUUUUUACUUAUCCAUUUUUAUUCUAACCAAAAAAGACGACUUGCAUCUAUAAUAAACAUACAUCAAGCGCAGAAAAGAUGCAACAAAGGUCAGAAGUCUUCGAAUCAAUUGAUUUCAGCGUUUAGAAGAUACGCUCAAAUUUUCGCGAAAAUUUUACUCUGUCGUGACUCUACUUUUUUUUUGGAGAGGGAGGAAGAAAGGGAACUGAAAGCAAGAAAACGUGAUGAGAAAAGUCGUUUGCUUAUGCGCGCGAGCAAUGUGCAGAGAGGAUUAGGAGAAAGUUACGAUAUAUAGCCUUGUCACAUCACACAGUCGCAAUUUGGAGCGGCCGUCGACACAGUGUCAUCUCGCGCGAUGCAUCCAUUGUACGCGUAUUGUUUGGAGUUGCAUCGUCUGAUACGGAGGAUAGCUAAUCCCAGUCCCCGUCUAAAUUCGUGACGUCAUAACAAUGCUGAGGUUGGAUAUUGCGUUAGCCGAGGCGAGUUCAAACACACCGUAGAAUUACGAUCAAAAUCAUAAGCAUACGUACGAUAUACUUGUUCUCCAUAAAAUCGCAGAGAAGCACGACAUCGCGAUCUGUCAUUCGCAACCUGAUCAAUUGCUUGUAUCGAUUGCACAACUUGUCCAACUGUAGAUAGUGUAUGUGCGAGGUUUACACGACACAGAGAAUAUUUUAUAAUAAAAGUUACUGUACUGUGUUGUGACCG